AUAUAUAUAUAUGUACAUACACCCCGUGAAUUGAAAAUAUGAGCUACGUGCGGAUUUGAAAAGAGUCUGAUGUUAGGAAGUUAAUUAAGGCUACAAAGAUGAAAGAGAAAAGAAUUCGGAAGGCAUUUAGAGAGGUCUGUCUCAAGGAAAAAAUAAAGUUACAAGCAAGGAGCUAGAAUUGAAGUCAAAUGGUGGAAGAGGAAUCUGAGAAGGGAAUAAAUAAAAGAGGCCGGUCUUACAUAUCACUAGGAACUUAAAUAAGAUAGGAUGAAGCUUGCUCCUCGAGAUGCAUAACGGGCAAGGAUUACAUACAAAAAUGGCUCGAAAAAUAAAAGUGAAGAAGCAUGCAAGGAUUUUUCUUAUAUAUUCCUCUUCUACUCA
rnacentral:lncRNA from 1 species